rnacentral:rRNA from 1 species
UACGGAGGGGGCUAGCGUUGUUCGGAAUUACUGGGCGUAAAGCGCACGUAGGCGGCUUUGUAAGUUAGAGGUGAAAGCCCAGGGCUUAACCCUGGAAUUGCCUUUAAGACUGCAUCGCUAGAAUUGUGGAGAAGUGAGUGGAAUUCCGAGUGUAGAGGUGAAAUUCGUAGAUAUUCGGAAGAACACCAGUGGCGAAGGCGACUCACUGGACACAUAUUGACGCUGAGGUGCGAAAGCGUGGGGAGCAAACAGG